rfam:Fusobacterium varium ATCC 27725 genomic scaffold supercont2.3, whole genome shotgun sequence.
GGUGAAGUGGCAGAGUGGCCUAAUGCACUCCCCUGCUAAGGGAGAGUACCUAUAAACGGUACCGAGAGUUCAAAUCUCUCCUUCACCG